GUGGGGAAUCUUGCGCAAUGGGCGAAAGCCUGACGCAGCCAUGCCGCGUGAAUGAUGAAGGUCUUAGGAUUGUAAAAUUCUUUCACCGGGGACGAUAAUGACGGUACCCGGAGAAGAAGCUCCGGCUAACUUCGUGCCAGCAGCCGCGGUAAUACGAAGGGGGCUAGCGUUGCUCGGAAUUACUGGGCGUAAAGGGCGCGUAGGCGGACAGCUUAGUCAGAGGUGAAAGCCCAGGGCUCAACCUUGGAAUUGCCUUUGAUACUGGCUGUCUUGAGUUUGGGAGAGGUGAGUGGAACUCCGAGUGUAGAGGUGAAAUUCGUAGAUAUUCGGAAGAACACCAGUGGCGAAGGCGACUCACUGGCCCAAUACUGACGCUGAGGCGCGAAAGCGUGGGGAUCAAACAGGAUUAGAAACCCCUGUAGUCC
rnacentral:rRNA from 1 species